UACGUAGGGGGCAAGCGUUAUCCGGAAUUACUGGGUGUAAAGGGAGCGUAGACGGCAAUGCAAGUCCGGAGUGGAAUGCGGCAGCUCAACUGCCGAACUGCUCUGGAAACUGUAUGGCUUGAGUGCAGGAGGGGUAAGCGGAAUUCCUGGUGUAGCGGUGAAAUGCGUAGAUAUCAGGAGGAAUACCGGUGGCGAAGGCGGCUUACUGGACUGUAACUGACGUUGAGGCUCGAAAGCGUGGGGAGCAAACAGG
rnacentral:rRNA from 1 species